rnacentral:rRNA from 1 species
UGCAGUUAGACGCUCGUAGUCGGAUUUCGGGGCGGGUCGACCGGUCUGCCGAUGGGUACGCACUGGCCGACGCGUCCUUCCUUCCGGAGACCGUCUCACUCUUAACUGAGCGGAGGCGGGAGACGGAACGCUUACUUUGAAAAAAUCAGAGUGUUUCAAGCAGGCAGCUCGCUCUUGCAUGGAUUAGCAUGGGAUAAUGAAAUAGGACUUUGGUGCUAUUUUGUUGGUUUCGAACACCGAAGUAAUGAUGAGAAGGGACAGUCAGGGGCACUCGUAUUCCGCCGAGAGAGGUGAAAUUCUCAGACCAGCGGAAGACGAACCACUGCGAAAGCAUUUGCCAGGGAUGUUUUCACUGAUCAAGAACGAAAGUUAGGGGAUCGAAGACGAUCAGAUACCGUCGUAGUCUUAACCAUAAACCAUGCCGACUAGGGAUUGGAGGAUGUUCACUUAUUGACUCCUUCAGCACCUUACGGGAAACUAAAGUCUUUGGGUUCCGGGGGGAGUAUGGUCGCAAGGCUGAAACUUAAAGGAAUUGACGGAAGGGCACCACCAGGUGUGGAGCCUGCGGCUUAAUUUGACUCAACACGGGGAAACUUACCAGGUCCAGACAUUGUGAGGAUUGACAGAUUGAGAGCUCUUUCUUGAUUCGAUGGGUGGUGGUGCAUGGCCGUUCUUAGUUGGUGGAGUGAUUUGUCUGGUUAAUUCCGUUAACGAACGAGACCUUAGCCUGCUAAAUAGUG